GGCCUGAAUUCGAAGUGGAGUAGAUUAGAAAAAUCAUCUGGCCCUACUAAACUACUCUACUUCGAGUUUGUGCCC
rnacentral:pre_miRNA from 1 species